rnacentral:lncRNA from 1 species
ACUCAAAAGUCGUAUAUCACUUAGGUGGAGGUCACUUAUUUGGCAUUCUCAGGUCCCGAAUAUUUAGCAUGUGAGUGACAGAGAACCAGCAGGGGGUGUGUGUGUGUGUUGGCGGGGAGGGCAGCAAAAUCAAGCUUCAGAAGCCAGUCGGGUAUGGGAAGUCGCUUCUACCCUUGACUCACGAUGGUCCUUUCAGGCCCACACUAGAGCUCCAUCAUUCUCCCUGUAGGUAUGGCCCUGACCACCUCGUCUCCCGUUUUCAACAAGAAAUUAGGGGUCAGAAUUGGUGAGGGGCGGGCGGAGGGGGGGCGCGUGUGGCUGGAGAACAGCCGUCGGAAGGAGACGCACUGAGAGCAGCAAGAGAGAAUGUCAGGCAUGAGCGGGAAGAGUCCCACGGCGUGGCUGUUUCCCCCCCGGGGACCCCGGGCUAAGAGAGCCGAGGAGCCUUCCGUGUUACUGCUUAUGACUGCAUGUGGGUCCACACGCCCGCAGUACAGAUUUCAGCUAAAAAAACCCCAGCAUGGCCGACUGCGGCCUUGUGGCGCGGGAGCAGGGCCGAACGGGGAGGCUGGCACGGUCGUUUGCGAAGGCACCUUGUGUAAUAGUUGUUCAUUGUAGUGACCCUGAGUCAUCGCCCAAAAAGGUUAGAUUAAUCAUAUGUUGAUUCACCAGGCUCUGCUUCAGAGAUGGGGAAGUUUGAGAGAUACUUUAGAAUGAUUUAGACGCAGGAGUUUUACAUGGAAAAUUAAGUUCUCCAUGCUUCCCACCCGCACCCCCCCCCCCGUGAUGUGCAGCUGCUUAGUGGGUUAACCUGAUGUGUCAAAUCAACCUUCCCGUGUGUCCAGAUACCAAAAUAUGAUUUAUUUUCACCAGAUUUGCAGGAAAAAAAAGUGAUUCACGAACAGAUUCAAACGAUGUUCCAAUACCAUUACUGGCUUGUUCCUCUGCGUUCCUAAUGUGAUUGCCAUGUUUUUAAUCGAAAUAAUACACAAAAAUUGGAGUUUUUAAAGUAGGGAUCAGAGAGGACUCUCUGACAGAGCCACUAAAGAAAAGGCGUUUCGGGAGUUCCCGCUGUGGGGCACGGGUCAAGAAUCUGACCGCAGCAGCUUAGGUCGCUGUGGAGGCAUGGGUUCGAUCCCUGGCCUGGGAAUUUCCAUAUGCCAAGGGUGCAGCCAUUAAAAAAAAGUAAAAUUAAAGAAAAGGAGUUUCAAGUGUGAAGGAAGCCUCAAAACGUAAAUAUUAAAAUUUAAUUGUAAGUCAUCAAAUGAGAAGAGUAAAAGGAAGGAGUGGUUCCUCCGCCGACCCCCCCAAGCCCCAACUAUAGACUUGUUCUGAGAACCGUGGGAUUUAGAGCUGGAAGCGACUUUAGAGGUCGCUUGGCCUGCUCUUAUGAGUUUGCCUUUAUUUUACUCAGUAUUCUUCCACAGUUCAUGUCUGUGCCCAGAAUUGAACAUGUCACCUGGAGUCGUGUCUGCAUAGCUUCUCUGGCAGGAGGACUAAUCCUAAUUAAAUGUGCUCACUUGGCAGAGAUGAUUAUGUAUUUUUUAGGUUCCUUGUUAAUUUUAUUCUCAGAAGCUCCGUUUUACGGAUGGAGACCCCUGUGGCACUCCAUAGCGAGGCACCAGAACUCUUUCUUGGCAUUGUGACGUGUUUUUGGACACUUCGUGGUAAUCCCAGAAUUGAAAACUCCCCAGGACAGCUGGUACCUGCUAAUAGUUCUCAGGCAUUUCGAUUUUAUCUGCUUAACUGUAGAGCAUUGCUGGGCCUAAGUUUUAAUAAUCAUACUCACAGAUGUAUUUCAUUUCAUUUUAUUUUACUUUAUUGGCCACGCCUGUGGCAUAUGGAAGUUCUGGGGCCAGGGGUCAAACCUGUGCCACAGCAGUGGCAAAGGUGGAUCCUUAACCUGCUGAACCACCAGGGAACUCCCUCAUAGGUGUAUUUUAAGUACUCCCAUAUUAUCUUCUAACAGUAGUGAAUUAAGUCUUUUAUGCACUUAGAUUUGCUGUAAUGUUAGUUAAUCCCCCAAAAUGGUUGGUGUGGCCUUUUCUGCUUGGUUUUGGGUUUUGGCUUUUUACUAAGAGAAAUUGCUUCUUUUGAAGAGGUAAUUAAUUUUGAAAUUUGGUCUUCUGGGUGUCCAUGGAAACGAUUCCCUGAUUGCCAUGCUGAAGGUGGAAGUAUUCUCUUAAGGUUAAGAGUUGGUGGCCCUGUCAGCAAAAGGAAAUGGAUCUGAACUACACAUGAGAAAUAAGAACCAGUGCUCUGGAUGUUAGAUACUCACAGCCGAUGGAAAAGUAACGCAAACCAUUACUUCCCAGCAAGCAAGGAGCGAGUCUCGUGCUGACUCUUUGGGGUGUGGAUGGCGAAGGGAGGUCUGCGGGGUGCAAGAGCUCGUGUGUCCUGUGGGAGAGCCGGUGGGGCUGCCCCAGUGCCGUGCGCCGGUCGAGAUGAUGUGCCUAGAGCAUCCGCUGGGUAGGCCGGCUGCAGGGACACCUGUUGAGGUGGGGAUGGCGGGUUGGGGUGCAGGGAAGGAAGCAUCCAGGCAGGGAUUUGAGCAGCUGCUGGCUGCCCAGAGCUCAGCCUCCGUGAAUCAGAGGCACAGGGAGCUCAUCCGUGGGCUUGGAGGCCGGCAGGGAGGAAGCAAGGGAGCCCGCUUUCAGUCAGGACCCUGAUGCCCCCAGAGUCCUGGAAAGGCAGGCCAGAAGUUGGUGGGGCAGUUACGAGCAUCUCAGUCCAUAGCGUCCGUGGUUUGGGGGAACGCUUUUCCCCCUUCGGGUAAUCCUGAUCUCGCAUUUGAAGUAAGUGCCCUGGGUCUGCUUUAAAAGGCAACUAAAAGGCUUUUACGGGACAUGGCUUAUUUAUAAAGGGGGUCAUCGAGAAUUUAGUCAAUUGAUUUAAGGUUGUUGGAGGAGUGAAGCGUUACGUGAUGCUGGUCCUAUCCAGGAUUUCACAAUUUCAAGGAAAAGUGGACAAUGCCUGCUUGUCUCCCAGGGAUUGGGGCAGUCCCACGGUCUGCACACCAGCCCCCGGAGCAGCCGGGCUCCGGCCGUCUCUAUCCCUUGGCGAGAGUGAGUCUCGGCAUGCGUGGGAUGUGCUGGCCUGGGAGUCAUUUAGCGAGAACUGGUUUGGGUCAUAGCCUCAGGUCUGCAUCGAAGCUGCACAUCAUGGGGCUGGGACAUUUGCAUGGCCUGGCGGAGUAGCUUGGGUGCACGUCGGAGGAGGCGGCAGGAGUCGAGUGCGAGGGGAGCAGCUUUGCCCACAAGCACGCUGCAGUCCUGCACCUAGACGGUGGCCGUGACUGUGGGGGGUGGCCCGGAGGAGAGAGCUGCCCUGCGAUGCUCGCACAUAAACCCGGGACACGUGGACAGUCUAUAGGAAGGAGUCUGCAGCCACAAACCUCUUUGGGUGUCUGUGAUGGAAGGGGACUUUUGGCUCUGUGAAGCGUCAUGUUUAUAAACGCCCGCCCGGUGCUUCAUUUACAGCUCGAUUCUCUCAUUAUGAGUGUGAUGAUGGCAGAAAUAAACCGAGCGAGUUGGCCUGCAGAAAUCACAUGAGCUCGCUUUUCUGUGGCUUUCAUUUUCUAAAUGUGGAUGUUCCUAUUCUGUCUCUUGCAGAUGUACACACAGCAAGGCUGGUGUGCAGAUAAUUGCGAGCGAGCGAGCGUCAUACCGUCCUCUUGCUGAGUGACCGGGAAUUUUCAGGGGCCUUUAAGGGAGAGCGCCAGCAGGAUAGCAGACCCCCUGUUACCCGACUGCGUGUCCUUCCUCUUCUCUCUGGUGUCCUGAGAGAAGGGCCCCGGUGUUAGCUCCUCAGUGGAAAGGUCACGCGUGACCCGCACGGGGGCUCCGUGGAGACUGCAUUUUCCUCCCCACUGUCUUCAAGGCAGUGUGAUUGUUU